rnacentral:lncRNA from 1 species
CUGGAAAUCGGGAAUUCCUGCCUGGACUUUGGAGAUUCCUGCCCGGACAUCGGGAAUUCUUGACUGGACACGGCUGAAUCCCGGCCGGACACCGGGAAUUCCUGGCUGGACUUUGGGAAUUCCUGCCCGGACAUUGGGAAUUCCCGGCCGGAUGCGGCCAAAUUCCGACUGGACACGGCUGAAUCCCGGCUGGACUUUGGGAAUUCCCGGCUGGACAUUCCCGAAUCCCCGCUGGACUUUGGGAAUUCCUGCCUGGAUGUGGCUGAAUCCCGACUGGACAUUGGGAAUUCCUGGCCGGACAUUCCUGAAUCCCGGCUGGACAUUGGGAAUUCCUGCCUGGAUGUGGCUGAAUCCCGGCCGGAGCCCGGGAAUUCCCGGCCGGACAUUGGGAAUUCCCGGCUGGAUGUGGCUGAAUCCCGGCCGGACCCUGGGAAUUCCUGUUUGGAGCCCGGGAAUUCCCGGCCGGAGCCCGGGAGCGCCGCUCCGGCCAGCGAGGCCGUGGGGGUGACGUCAUCGUCGGGACGGGGAUCCCGGCCCGGCCGGAGCCUCCGGACAAUCAGGAGCCGCAGGGUCUCCACUGGGAACGGAAAACAGGGAAAACAGGGAAAUUCCAGAGGGAAAACCCCGGGAUUGGGAAAUUCCAGGGAAAUUCCAGGGGAAAAAUCCCGGGAUUGGGAAAUUCCAGGGGGAAAAACCCCGGGAUUGGGAAAUUCCAGGGAAAUUCCAAGGGGAAAAAUCCCGGGAUUGGGAAAUUCCAGGGGGAAAAAUCCCGGGAUUGGGAAAUUCCGGGAAAUUCCAGAGGGAAAAAUCCCGGGAUUGGGAAAUUCCAGGGGGAAAACCCCGGGAUUGGGAAAUUCCAGGGAAAUUCCAGGGGGAAAACCCCGGGAUUGGGAAAACAGGGAAAUUCCAGGGGGAAAAACCCCGGGAUUGGGAAAUUCCAGAGGGAAAAAUCCCGGGAUUGGGAAAUUCUGGGAAAUUCCAGAGGGAAAAAUUGGGAAUUUGGGAAUUUGGGAAUUUGGGAAUUCGGGAUUUUGGGAAUUUGGGAUUUUGGGAUUUUGGGAAUCCGGGAUUUUGGGAAUUUGGGAAUUCGGGAAUUUGGGAAUUCGGGAAUUUGGGAUUUUGGGAAUUUGGGAUUUUGGAAAUUUGGGAUUUUGGGAAUUUGGGAAUUUGGGAAUCUGGGAAUUUGGGAAUUUGGGAUUUUGGGAAUUUGGGAAUCCGGGAAUUUGGGAAUUCGGGAAUUUGGGAAUUUGGGAAUUCGGGAUUUGGGGAUUUGGGGAUUUUGGGAAUUUGGGAAUCCGGGAUUUUGGGAAACCGGGAAUUUGGGAAUUUGGGAUUUUGGGAUUUUGGGAAUUUGGAAAUUUGGGAUUUGGGGAAUUCGAGAUUUUGGGAAUUCGAGAUUUUGGGAAUUUGGGAAUCCGGGAUUUUGGGAAUUUGGGAAUUUGGGAUUUUGGGAAUUUGGGAAUUCGGGAAUUUGGGAAUCCGGGAUUUUGGGAAUUUUGGGAAUUCGGGAUUUUGGGAAUCCGGGAUUUUGGGAAUUCGGGAAUCUGGGAAUCCGGGAAUUUGGGAAUUUGGGUUUCCCCAGCUCUCACCGUCCUCCAGCGCCGCCUGGGCCACUCCUCCGGCGCUUCCCGGGGAUUUGGGGAUUCCCGGGAUCCCGGCCCCGCCCGGCUCCGAUG